AACGAACGCUGGCGGCAUGCCUAACACAUGCAAGUCGAACGAGAACUUCGGGUCUAGUGGCGCACGGGUGCGUAACGCGUGGGAAGUUGCCCUUAGGUUCGGUAUAACUCCCCGAAAGGGAUGUUAAUACCGGAUAAUGUCUUAGGACAAAAGAUUUAUUGCCUUUGGAUGGGCCCGCGUUGGAUUAGCUAGUUGGUAGGGUAAAAGCCUAUCAUGGCGUCGAUUCUUAGCUGGUCUGGGAGGAUGAUCAGCCACACUGGGACUGAGACACGGCCCAGACUCCUACGGAAGGCAGCAGUGGAGAAUAUUGGACAAUGGGCGAAAGCCUGAUCCAGCAAUGCCGCGUAAGUGAUGAAGGCCUUAGGGAUGUAAAGCUCUUUUACCCGAGAUGAUAAUGACAGUACCGGGAGAAUAAGCACCGGCUAACUCCGUG
rnacentral:rRNA from 1 species